AUGAGCCAAGGUUCUCCCGCCGCGAUGGGGUCCGGUUCAGGGACAGCAGAACCGGCCCAUGGGCAGCACGGGCACUCCUCCCCCGAUGACGCCGCCGCCGCCGCCGCCUCCUCGCCGCCGACUCUCCCCCCUGCAGCGCCCCUCCAGCGUCCCCAAGAAAAGCGGGACGGCGAGCAGGCCGGAGGCUCGAGCUCCGCUGCGGCGGGGGUCGACCGGAAGGGCAAGAAUCUCCCAUCCGCACCCGCAGUUCCUUCUUCGGAGUCUUCAUCUUCGAGCUCCGGGGGCAGCAGCCCCGAGGACGCCGACGCCGCGGCCUCCGGAGCCCGGCCGUUCGACAGCACGGCGGUGUUCCAGCAGCUGCUACGGGAGCAGACGGCCAUCAAGGAGGCGGGUGGCCCAUUGGCCGAGGGGGCGGGCAAGAAGAAGAAGCCAGAGGAGGCGCAGGUGAAAUCGUCGCACGCCAUAGCGGAGCUCUGGCACAAUCUUAUAAAGUUUUUUCAUGGAGAAGAAUGGCACUAUUCAGAACAUGUGAAUUACCAGACACAUCCCAUCACUGAAGUAAGAAAGUAUUAUCGGGUUCCUAAUUUUGCUACGGGACAAGGAGUGGACCAUCUUGAUGCCUAUUCAGAAUUUAGACGGGUGACUGGAGAUGGGGAGUGUUUCUACAGGAGCUUCAUAUUUUCCUACCUUGAGCAAGUUCUUGAUAGGCAGGACACACAUGAGGAACACCGUCUGCUAGAUGCUGUUAAAAGAGUGUCUGUGCAACAUGCAGAUCUAGGAUGGACCUCUAAAUUUCCCAGGAGCUACAGAGGGAUGCACAAUUUCUUACAGUAG
rnacentral:rRNA from 1 species